UGCAAGUCGAGCGCGCCCUUCGGGGUGAGCGGCGGACGGGUGAGUAACGCGUGGGAAUAUGCCCUUCUCUAAGGAAUAGCCUCUGGAAACGGAGAGUAAUACCUUAUACGCCCUUUGGGGGAAAGAUUUAUCGGAGAAGGAUUAGCCCGCGUUAGAUUAGGUAGUUGGUGGGGUAAUGGCCUACCAAGCCUACGAUCUAUAGCUGGUUUGAGAGGAUGAUCAGCCACACUGGGACUGAGACACGGCCCAGACUCCUACGGGAGGCAGCAGUAGGGAAUCUUAGACAAUGGGGGCAACCCUGAUCUAGCCAUGCCGCGUGUGUGAUGAAGGCCCUAGGGUCGUAAAGCACUUUCGCCAGAGAUGAUAAUGACAGUAUCUGGUAAAGAAACCCCGGCUAACUCCGUGCCAGCAGCCGCGGUAAUACGGAGGGGGUUAGCGUUGUUCGGAAUUACUGGGCGUAAAGCGCACGUAGGCGGAUUAGUAAGUUAGAGGUGAAAUCCCAGGGCUCAACCCUGGAACUGCCUUUAAUACUGCUAGUCUUGAGCUCGAGAGAGGUAAGUGGAAUUCCGAGUGUAGAGGUGAAAUUCGUAGAUAUUCGGAGGAACAUCAGUGGCGAAGGCGGCCACCUGGACAGAUACUGACGCUGA
rnacentral:rRNA from 1 species